UACGUAGGGUGCAAGCGUUGUCCGGAAUUAUUGGGCGUAAAGAGCUCGUAGGCGGUUUGUCGCGUCUGCUGUGAAAACUCGGGGCUUAACCCCGAGCCUGCAGUGGGUACGGGCAGACUAGAGUGCGGUAGGGGAGACUGGAAUUCCUGGUGUAGCGGUGAAAUGCGCAGAUAUCAGGAGGAACACCGGUGGCGAAGGCGGGUCUCUGGGCCGUAACUAACGCUGAGGAGCGAAAGCGUGGGGAGCGAACAGG
rnacentral:rRNA from 1 species